GCUGGGUGCGGUGGCGCGUGCCUGUAGUCCCAGCUACUCGGGAGGCUAAGGUGGGAGGAUCGCCCAGGAGUUCUGGGCUGCAGUACGCUAUGCCGAUCGGGUGUCCGCACUAAGUUCGGCAUCAAUAUGGUGACCUCCCGGGAGCGGGGAACCACCAGGUUGCCUAAGGAGGAGUGAACCGGCCCAGGUCAGAAAUGGAGCAGGUCAAAACUCCCGUGCUGAUCAGUAGUGGGAUCGCGCCUGUGAAUAGCCACUGCACUCCAGCCUGGGCAACAUAGCGAGACCCCGUCUUU
ensembl:misc_RNA Metazoa_SRP Metazoan signal recognition particle RNA